rnacentral:rRNA from 1 species
UACGGGGGGAGCAAGCGUUGUUCGGAUUUACUGGGCGUAAAGGGCGCGUAGGCGGUCAGCACAAGUCAGUUGUGAAAUCUUCGGGCUUAACUCGGAAAGGUCAACUGAUACUGUGCGACUAGAGUGCGGAAGGGGCAACUGGAAUUCUCGGUGUAGCGGUGAAAUGCGUAGAUAUCGAGAGGAACACCAGUGGCGAAGGCGGCUACCUGGACCAGCACUGACACUGAAGCACGAAAGCGUGGGGAGCAAACAGG